GGAGUCUUGUUUUAUCACCCAGGCUGGAGUGCAGUUGCGCAAUCUCAGCUCACUGCAGCCUCUGUCUCCCGGGUUCAAGCAGUCCUCCCAGAAUGGAAGAGCAACCUAUUUGCUCCUACUUGGAAAAGAUUCUUUCUAAAAAUAUGGAACUGAUGGAAAAGAAACUUAUGGAUUACAUUGAUCAGCGAAUACAUGAACUCCAGGAGCACAUUGAUGAUAAGAUUGCUUUGUUAAUGGAUUUGCUGCAAAAUCCUAACUCCCCGCCCACUGGGAUACCUCUAAGACAUUAUGACUCUGGAGAAAGACUUUCAAAUGGAGAAAGAUAAGCUCUCAACAUAAACAGU
rnacentral:sRNA from 1 species